GAUGAACGCUGGCGGCGUGCCUAAUACAUGCAAGUCGAGCGAACGGACGAGAAGCUUGCUUCUCUGAUGUUAGCGGCGGACGGGUGAGUAACACGUGGAUAACCUACCUAUAAGACUGGGAUAACUUCGGGAAACCGGAGCUAAUACCGGAUGAUAUUUUGAACCGCAUGGUUCAAAAGUGAAAGACGGUCUUGCUGUCACUUAUAGAUGGAUCCGCGCUGCAUUAGCUAGUUGGUAAGGUAACGGCUUACCAAGGCAACGAUGCAUAGCCGACCUGAGAGGGUGAUCGGCCACACUGGAACUGAGACACGGUCCAGACUCCUACGGGAGGCAGCAGUAGGGAAUCUUCCGCAAUGGGCGAAAGCCUGACGGAGCAACGCCGCGUGAGUGAUGAAGGUCUUCGGAUCGUAAAACACUGUUAUUAGGGAAGAACAUAUGUGUAAGUAACUGUGCACAUCUUGACGGUACCUAAUCAGAAAGCCACGGCUAACUACGUG
rnacentral:rRNA from 1 species